GGAGCAGUAGGAUGAUGUACAAAGUAGACACACGAGGUGAAACAGAAAGAAGUCUUCUGUGAAAUGAUCGGGAAAGCAGAGCUCACAUAUGUUUCACCUCAUUGGAAUUUACCUGGGAGUCUUUGGUGUGUUUUAGACAGGAGAUGAGUGGCCCUAGAUGUUUAAAAUGAAACUUACUGUGCAAGACAAAAAGGAAAAAGGCUACUGUAGCUAUGAGAUAAAUAUGCAGCUGGCUUGACGGUUGUGAUCCGAUGUGUUGAGAGGAGAAACCAUCAAAAUAUGAUAUAUGAGCAGAGCUUUGGGAGUCAUCAUCCAGCUGCAACAAAGAUGUAACAAUCGCAGGGAUAAGACAGAAAACUUGAAAGACGAGCU
rnacentral:lncRNA from 1 species